rnacentral:tRNA from 1 species
GUCUCCGUAGCUCAGCCGGUAGAGCAACUGACUUUUAAUCAGUGGGUCGAGUGUUCGAAUCACUUCGGAGACACCA